rnacentral:tRNA from 1 species
GCCCCGUUAGCUCAGUUGGUAGAGCAGUUGCCUCUUAAGCAAACGGUCGUAGGUUCGAAUCCUACACGGGGCACCA